rnacentral:rRNA from 1 species
GGAGGGAUCAUUAAAGAGUUCUAUAACUCCCAAACCCAUGUGAACAUACCUAACGUUGCCUCGGCAGGUCGCACCUACCUUGUAGCACCCUACCCUGUAGGGCCUACCCGGGAGGUGCGGGUAAGCCUGCCGGCGGCCCACCAAACUCUGUUUGAUAUUGAAUUCUGAACCUAUAACUAAAUAAGUUAAAACUUUCAACAACGGAUCUCUUGGUUCUGGCAUCGAUGAAGAACGCAGCGAAAUGCGAUAAGUAAUGUGAAUUGCAGAAUUCAGUGAAUCAUCGAAUCUUUGAACGCAUAUUGCGCCCAUUAGUAUUCUAGUGGGCAGGACCGUUCGAGCGUCAUUUCAACCCUUAAGCCUUCGUUGCUUAGUGUUGGGAGCCUACGGCAACGUAGCUCCUCAAAGUUAGUGGCGGAGUUGGUUCACACUCUAGACGUAGUAAUUUUUUAUCUCGCCUAUUAGUUGGACUAAUCCCCUGCCGUAAAACCCCCAAUUUAUCAAGGUUGACCUCGAAUCGGUUCAGACAAACUCGCUAAAUUGAAGCAUCUUAGUCAGCGAAGGAAAAGAAACCAACAGGGAUUGCCCUAGUAACGGCGAGUGAAGCGGCAACAGCUCAAAUUUGAAAUCUGGCCCUCGGGUCCGAGUUGUAAUUUGUAGAGGAUGCUUUUGGCGCGGUGCCUUCCG